UGAUGAAGGCUAGCUAUUAUUGACAACAGCAUACUAUAUGGAGGGAGCUGCAGAGCUCCUAGAAGUGGCCAAGGGUGAAAUCCUGAACAUUUUGAGGAUAAAGAAGUUGCAGUCAUUUUCUAAUGACAUGUCUAAGGUAGGAGGUUUGGCAGAGACCUCAAAAUGGCAAGUGAAGGGGGCAACAUGAAGUACCUGAGAAGGCUGCAGGGGAAGCACUGUACUCAGGGGAGACCAGAAGUCUAAACAGCACACAAGCUAAGGGAGCACUCAGAAGAGAUGGAAGGCUGCUGAUGAUAAGAAUGAAGUCUGUCCCAGACCCACUGCCACUGAACCGGGUGAGCACGCUGUUAAUUGGAGUGGAAGCAUUGUAAAUGAGGGCUUUCGGGGGCUGCCCAGGUCUGUGCUGGCACCAAGCUAAGCAAUGCUUCACAUCCACGUAGAGGAGGCUUUCCGUCGCUCUGCAGCUGAUGGAGACUCUCUCCUGGGGAGACUGGCAAAGACUCUGCGGCCUGAGUGAGCAUGAUGUACCCACUGGAUCCUACAAUUAGAGGCACAUGGGACGGAUCCAGAGAUACUGUGCCACGCAAGGAUAAAAGAAAAAAAUCAAGAUGAAAUGUAGUUUCUGUGACAGGUGGACAGGUUUGUGUUGCUUGUAGCAUUUAUUUUAUAUCCAAUUUUACAAUUGUGGAUCUUUCUGAAGAGGAGGAUUACUUUGGUGGGAAAACCCCAUCUCUGUGCUUGUAAAUAUUUUCUCAUCUGAAACACAGUAGAGCAAGAGCCUGUGGAUCUGGGAUGGUGACACCACCUUGCAGCUCCUCCUUUUGCUUGAUGUUGCUCAAGCUCCAUCCCCCAGAAAUGGCUCCAUUUAUGUGACUCAGAUCACCUUCCCAGGUUGUGGUGGGGGCUGAGGGACACUUAUGUAAAGAACCAAAGAAUAUGACAGUGAAGCUCAUAAAGCACAGAUUUGUGCUUAGAAAUCUUGUAAGCUGUGCUUUUCCUACCUUUUUUUCCUUUGAGGAAGAUUAGCCCUGAGCUAACAUCUGCUGCCAAUCCUCCUCUUUUUGCUGAGGAAGACUGGUCCUGAGCUAACAUCCAUGCCCAUCUUCCUCUACUUUAU